GGAUUUGGAUCGAGCGACGCCACCGAGGAGUGAUCUUAGAGGUUUCAACCUUCGACUCCGAUCAAUUGGGGUUGCACGGAGCUGUGUCUGGUGUUGUGCUUUGGUCCAGCGACUCAUCUGGUUGCUAGUGGAAAUGAUCUUAGCAAAGGAUCAACAGAAGGGGGGCUGUGAGGAAGAGGAGGUUGGAUUGAAGGGGGCAGCAUGUUUACUAGGGUUUCGGUCAGGAGUUUCCAGUAGCCUACAGUUCCAG